GACGAACGCUGGCGGCGUGCUUAACACAUGCAAGUCGAACGGAAAGGCCCUGCUUUUGUGGGGUGCUCGAGUUGCGAACGGGUGAGUAACACGUGAGUAACCUGCCCUUGACUUUGAGAUAACUUCAGGAAACUGGGGCUAAUACCGGCUAGGAGCUCCUGCUGCAUGGUGGGGGUUGGAUAGUUUCGGCGGUUGGGGAUGGACUCGCGGCUUAUCAGCUUGUUGGUUGGGUAGUGGCUUACCAAGGCUUUGACGGGUAGCCGGCCUGAGAGGGUGACCGGCCACAUUGGGACUGAGAUACGGCCCAGACUCCUACGGGAGGCAGCAGUGGGGAGUAUUGCACAAUGGGCGGAAGCCUGAUGCAGCAACGCCGCGUGCGGGAUGACGGCCUUCGGGUUGUAAACCGCUUUCGCCUGUGACGAAGCGUGAGUGACGGUAAUGGGUAAAGAAGCACCGGCUAACUACGUG
rnacentral:rRNA from 1 species